rnacentral:lncRNA from 1 species
CUCCUUGGCAGGCCAUAGUAACGGCCACUACUCUGCUCCACUUCCUGCAACAGAUACCUCGCGGCUCCUCCACCCUCUGGCAAGUCACGACAACAGGCGCCGCUUCACUCCCCGCAACAGACUCCACGUGGCAGAUCGCAGUGAUGGCCAUGAUUCCGCUCCACUACAUUUCAUAACAACCUCCUCCUGGCCCUGAACGGCCCGCUGCCAGAUGGUUACAAACGUCGCUAUCAUCUAUUGCACCCUCUAUCUAUAAAAAGGGGACCCCAGAUACAUUAUUCUCUAAGCUCUCAUUUCCUAUCUCAAAACUCUACUAAAUUUUUCGUUUGAGCACUCCAUUCUUAUUGAGACAGAGAACUGACUUGAGCGUUGGAGGGUCUUGUCGGAGCACCCCCACCUCUGGUUUAGACUUCCUUUGCAGGUCCCAACGGCGACCGCGGCUCCCUCGACUCCAGCUUCUCUGACGCAAGCAGAUUUUUGCACUAACAGGAUUGGCGCUAGAGGAAGGGCUGUGUCUUCACAGUACCCUUGUUCUUAAAGGAGCGCUCAACGGGACCGCCUCCGGUCAUCUUUUCUGAUGACCUCUCCUCCUUUCCCCAC